rnacentral:rRNA from 1 species
GAUGAACGCUGGCGGCGUGCCUAAUACAUGCAAGUCGAGCGAACAGACGAGGAGCUUGCUCCUCUGACGUUAGCGGCGGACGGGUGAGUAACACGUGGAUAACCUACCUAUAAGACUGGGAUAACUUCGGGAAACCGGAGCUAAUACCGGAUAAUAUAUUGAACCGCAUGGUUCAAUAGUGAAAGACGGUUUUGCUGUCACUUAUAGAUGGAUCCGCGCCGCAUUAGCUAGUUGGUAAGGUAACGGCUUACCAAGGCAACGAUGCGUAGCCGACCUGAGAGGGUGAUCGGCCACACUGGAACUGAGACACGGUCCAGACUCCUACGGGAGGCAGCAGUAGGGAAUCUUCCGCAGUGGGCGAAAGCCUGACGGAGCAACGCCGCGUGAGUGAUGAAGGUCUUCGGAUCGUAAAACUCUGUUAUUAGGGAAGAACAAAUGUGUAAGUAACUAUGCACGUCUUGACGGUACCUAAUCAGAAAGCCACGGCUAACUACGUG